rnacentral:lncRNA from 1 species
GAAGAGGUCGGCUGGCAUAAGGUGCAUGUUUCUGAGACAUCGCUUUGGGGAACAUACUAAACGGUCCAGCUGUAGUUUCGAUUUGCACAUUGAGGAUCUGUUGAUACUGAUCUUAUGCAUAUGCUGGCUUUCGUUGGCUGUUUUGUAAACUUGGUAAUUUCAUCCCUGCACUCAGCAACCUUCUCCAGCACAGUCCUUAGAUUCAGGUAACAAAAAAAAUAUAUAAAUAUUUCACUAUACAUUACACUAUACGGUAAUUUCAUCCCUGCACUCAGCAACCUUCUCCAGCACAGUCCUUAGAUUCAGGUAACAAAAAAAAUAUAUAAAUAUUUCACUAUACAUUACAC